AGCUGCUGCCUCGGCGUGUUGCAGGAUCCCCCAGGCGUGGAGCGGGAGCAGUCCCGGGGCGUCUCUGGAAAACGCUGGUUAAUGUGUGCUGGAUGCUGGGCGGCACAGGGAAUGCAGAGGGGAGGAGCUGGAUAGCGGCAGAUGCUUCUGGCAGAUGUGGAGGGAGGAGAUCUGCAUGACUUCUGGGGCUUCCUUGGCAUCCCCUAUUUGCCAGGUCGUAGCAUUUGUCCUGGUGGCCAUUCUCACCAUUGUAUUUGCAAAAGGAUUAAAAAUUAAUAAAACCCCAAAUCCAAAUAAA